GAUGAACGCUGGCGGCGUGCUUAACACAUGCAAGUCGCACGAUGAAGCCCAGCUUGCUGGGUGGCUUAGUGGCGAACGGGUGAGUAACACGUGAGUAACCUGCCCUUAACUCUGGGAGAAGCCUGGGAAACUGGGUCUAAUACCGGAUAGGUGCCACCACCGCACGGAGGGUGUUGGAAAGCUUCAGCGGUCUUGGAUGGACUCGCGGCCUAUCAGCUUGUUGGUGGGGUAAUGGCUCACCAAGGCGACGACGGGUAGCCGGCCUGGGAGGGUGACCGGCCACGCUGGGACUGGGACACGGCCCAGACUCCUACGGGAGGCAGCAGUGGGGAAUAUUGCACAAGGGGCGCAAGCCUGAUGCAGCGACGCCGCGUGAGGGAGGACGGCCUUCGGGUUGUAAACCUCUUUCAGUAGGGAAGAAGCGAAAGUGACGGUACCUGCAGAAGAAGCACCGGCUAACUACGUG
rnacentral:rRNA from 1 species